GACGAACGCUGGCGGCGUGCUUAACACAUGCAAGUCGAACGGAAAGGCCCUGCUUUUGUGGGGUGCUCGAGUGGCGAACGGGUGAGUAACACGUGAGUAACCUGCCCUUGACUUUGGGAUAACUUCAGGAAACUGGGGCUAAUACCGGAUAGGAGCUCCUGCUGCAUGGUGGGGGUUGGAAAGUUUCGGCGGUUGGGGAUGGACUCGCGGCUUAUCAGCUUGUUGGUGGGGUAGUGGCUUACCAAGGCUUUGACGGGUAGCCGGCCUGAGAGGGUGACCGGCGACACUGGGACUGAGAGACGGCACAGACUCCUACGGGAGGCAGCAGGGGGGAAGCUUGCACAAGGGGCGGAAGGCUGAUGAAGCAACGCCGCGUGCGGGAUAACGGCCUUCGGGUGGUAAAAAGCUUUCGCCUGUGACGAAGCGUGAGUGACGGUAAUGGGUAAAGAAGCACCGGCUAACUACGUG
rnacentral:rRNA from 1 species